CUUCCGUGUUCUAACCCUCUCCCCAAGUUGUAGCCCCUCUCCCCAUGUUCUUCUCUCCCUCAGCCCGCGUUCUAGACCCCUUGUCGGUGGUCUAGUCUCCCUCGUCGGUGUUCUAACCCCUCCUCCCGCGUUAUAGCUCUUCUCCCCAGGUUCAUCUCGCUCUCGCCGCCUGGGUUCUAGUCGUCCCGGCUUCAUGCUAAUUCCCCAAUCCACCCCUUCUACUCUGCCUCGCCAGCCUUCGAACCCCUCUUGCUGGCGUUCUAGCUCUUCCGCCUGCACUCUAGCGCCCCCCGCCUGAGUUCGAACCUCUCUGCAUGCGCUCUAGUCAACCCGAUCGAGUUCUAACUCUCCGCUACGUUCUAAUCCGCCCUACAUCCUGAGUCGCCCAGGUUCUGAACUGUCUGGGUUCCAUCACCUUCUUUCCCCGCCCUGCCCUAGGCCGCCUCCCCUUUUCUAACUCUGCCCCUGCAAUCCAGUCCCUUGGGUACCCCUCGGUGCCCCCCAAGUCCCUUGCCAGGCUUGCAAGCGGAAAUGGGGAGCGCACGGCGACGGCGACGGCGACGGCGACGGCGACGGGGGGAGGGGCAGGGCGGGGGCGGCGGCCAAUGGAGCGGGAAGCAGGACAAAUGAGGCCCGGCCCGCGCGGCCGACAGGCCCCUCCAUCUUCCCAUUAGCGCCUAAUGGCCCCCCCGCCGCCGCCUGAUGAAGAUUUAUCGGCCCCGGAGCCCCCGCCCCCCGGCCCGGCCUCGCCGCACCGGGCCCCCGCCGCCCGCCCGCCGCGGACACCUGAUGAAGCCGUCACCGCGGCGGGAGGGGCAGCCCGCGACCUCGACCACGGCUAGGCCGAGACCCGACCGGGCCGCCAGAGUUCUGGGAGCCAGAGAGUCCCUGAGAUCUGGGGACCCGAUGGCUAGAGAGCCCCAACAGUCAAUGGACCCUAGGCGGAAGAGCGAAUCGCGCCCCAUCCAUCAACAGGCUCGAAGCCUCCCUAAUAAAAACAUUUUACUCCUAAA